GGUGUCGGUGAGGUACGACUGUUCGUCGUCUCGUUUAGUCGGUUCGGUUGGUCGAGCCUAUUGCUGGCACGGAAAGAAAUUCGUUUCGUUUCGACUAUCGCGUUGAGCCACCGUAAAGACAAUGAUUAAGGUUGAGGGUGAUAAGCAAGCAGAUGUCCUGAGCAGGGUUCCUGAUUUCCACUUUUUAUCUUCUUCCACAUUCGAAGACAGUCAGCAGCGAACGAUUGUCGCUUUAGUUCGUGUGUAUGCUUGUCAGCGACGACAGCAAACUCCGGCGAACGGUGGGAAGCCACACUUGGAAAUUACUCAUUCGUCAACAUUCGCAUCGCAAGCGAAUGCGAUCCGUAAGUGAUGCGAUUGAUAUUGUGCAUACGAAUAUUUGAU